rnacentral:lncRNA from 1 species
UUCAAAAUUAAAUUGAUAGCAUGUAACCGAUACCCAUCUACCCCUGCUCUCCUUUGUCACCCUUCAACCGAUGCCUCAUCAAUUAAGAAACAUCAGUUACAAACCCUAGCAAUUUAUAAACCCUGCUCAUCGGCUCCAAUUAAUCUGUGAUUUUCUCAAUUCUGCGCUGUUUUGGUUAUGUUAUAUCGUCUCCGAUAUUGUCUCAAUUCCUUCCCCCAACAUAGAAACACUAGAAAUCGAUGAACGAGAGUAGAAAUCGGUUAAAUGGUACCUGUAAUUGCACUCGUUUUGGGUUAGAUUCAAGAAAGGGUGAAAAACCGUUGUCCUAUGGUUCGGAUGGAGAGCAUUUCAGAUGAUCGAGCUUUCCAACUAUUUCAUCAGUUGGUCCAAACGGUUCAAUUAUUCAUUACGAACCAGAAGCUAAAACAUGUGCGGAACUCCAUCCAAAUCGCAUGUAUCUUUGUGAUUCUGGAGCUCAGGUUCUUCUUACAUUUUCUAUGCAGUUUUUUGGCUUACAUUAUACUAUUUACUUACUAAAAUUAUUCACUACAUUUUUAUUGUGUUUUUCUUUAAAAGUAUUUUGAUGGGACAACGGAAACGGAUAUAACUCGGACCGUUCAUUUCGGAAAGCCUUCUGAACAUGAAUAAAGAUGUUAUACUGCGGGUGUCAGCAAGGGAGGCCUAAAAGGAAUCGCCCACAUAACAGGAGGUGGUUUAACAAAUAAUGUCCCUCAAGGCCUCGGGGCCCGCAUUUACAACAACUUUUGGUCCGUUCUUCCUAUUUUCAAGUGGAUCCAAAAGGUGUAGUUAUGCUUACAGGAUGAAAACAUUGAAGAUGCUGAAAUGAAGCGUACAUUUAAUAUGGGAAUCAGGAUGCUAGCGAAGAGGCUGCCCAAAGGAAAGAGGCAACUGAAGGUACAUGUUGGUACACCGGUAGGGGUGUAAACGAGUCGGGCAUAGUGCGAGCCUCCACUACUCAAGCUUGGCUCGUCAUGUUUUUAUGAAGCUCGGUUCGGUUCGGAUUUACUUAUUUGAGCUCGAGCUCGGCUUGCAAGUAAAACCCAAAUCUUGAGCUCAUUUUGAGCUCACAAGCUUAAACAUACUUUAUAUUUCUAGCUCGAGCUUGUUAAGUCUCGGUUUUUAUAUUAAGAUGCUUUUGAUUCCUCAACAACACUCUUUUAGGAUUUUCACUUUGCACUAAAUGGUAAUGUGUUCGGGAUUAUUC